rnacentral:rRNA from 1 species
UGGGGAAUAUUGCACAAUGGGCGCAAGCCUGAUGCAGCCAUGCCGCGUGUAUGAAGAAGGCCUUCGGGUUGUAAAGUACUUUCAGUCGGGAGGAAGGUGGUAAGGUUAAUAACCUUAUCAAUUGACGUUACUGACAGAAGAAGCACCGGCUAACUCCGUGCCAGCAGCCGCGGUAAUACGGUGGGUGCAAGCUUUAAUCGGAUUUACUGGGCGUAAAGCGCACGCAGGCGGUUGAUUGAGUCAGAUGUGAAAUCCCCGGGCUUAACCAGGGAAAUGCAUCUGAUACUUGGCAGCUAAAGUAUUGUAGAGGGGGAUAUAGUACCAUGUUUAGCGGUGAAAUGCGUGGUGAUGUGGAGUGAUACCGGUGGCGAUGGCGGCCCCCUCGACAAAGACUGUCGCUCAGAUGCGAAAGCGUGGGGAGCAAACAGG